CAUGAGCAUUUUUUCUUUGUUUCAGGACAAAGUCACAAGAGUUAAUUUAGGCCAUAACACUGUUAGCUCUUGCCUCCCAACUGGGCCUGAGCUUGACUGUGUGCUAAUUGGACCCAAAAAGCAUUGCCAAUUUCUAGUUCAUGUACCUUGAAUAUGAAGAUAAAUCAGACCCAUACAUGGUAAGUUUCUUCCUAACCCCAAAGUAAUUACUGGUAGCUAUAAUUUUAAAAUCAUAUCACUUUACACAUUUAUUCCACAAUUACCAGAGAAACCUUAUGGAUUUACAUAAUUUAUUAGAUUUCAUUAGAUCUUUUAAACUAAUUUUUUCUUGGCU
rnacentral:lncRNA from 1 species